CUGCAUCUAUGUGUACUCGCUCGUCGUAAAUCGACAAGUGUAGAAGGGAAAUGAUGCGAAAUUGGCCGUGAACUCCGCAGGCGGACGAGGACUUUAUGGUUCCUGUCCUAGUCAAUUGGAGUUCCUCAUUU
rnacentral:misc_RNA from 1 species